rnacentral:RNase_P_RNA from 1 species
GGAGUUGGCCAGGCGAUCGCUUGUUAUUCGUAACGGGAGGAAAGUCCGGGCUCCGCAGGGCAGGGUGCCAGGUAACACCUGGGGGGCGUGAGCCUACGGAAAGUGCAGCAGAAAGGAUACCGCCCGAUUCGUCGGGUAAGGGUGAAAAGGUGCGGUAAGAGCGCACCGCGCGGCUGGUAACAGGCGUGGCGACGGUAAACCCCCACUCGGAGCAAGACCAAAUAGGAAUCCAUGGCUGCGGCCCGCAGUGGAUUCGGGUAGGUUGCUACAGGCGGACGGUGACGUUCGUCGCAGAUGAAUGAUCGUCCACGACAGAACCCGGCUUAUCGGCCAACUCCACUU